AAUCUACUCUNGUCGUGGGUAUAACGUAGGGAAACUUACGCUAAUACCGCAUACGACCUACGGGUGAAAGCAGGGGAUCUUCGGACCUUGCGCGAUUGAAUGAGCCGAUGUCGGAUUAGCUAGUUGGCGGGGUAAAGGCCCACCAAGCGACGAUCCGUAGCUGGUCUGAGAGGAUGAUCAGCCACACUGGAACUGAGACACGGUCCAGACUCCUACGGGAGGCAGCAGGC
rnacentral:rRNA from 1 species